UACGUAGGGUGCAAGCGUUGUCCGGAAUUAUUGGGCGUAAAGAGCUCGUAGGCGGUUUGUCGCGUCUGCUGUGAAAACUCGGGGCUUAACUCCGGGCCUGCAGUGGGUACGGGCAGACUAGAGUGCGGUAGGGGAGACUGGAAUUCCUGGUGUAGCGGUGAAAUGCGCAGAUAUCAGGAGGAACACCGGUGGCGAAGGCGGGUCUCUGGGCCGGAACUGACGCUGAGGAGCGAAAGCGUGGGGAGCAAACAGG
rnacentral:rRNA from 1 species